AUUGAACGCUGGCGGCAGGCCUAACACAUGCAAGUCGAGCGAGAAAGGUCCUUCGGGGCUGAGUACAGCGGCGGACGGGUGAGUAACGCGUAGGAAUCUACCCAGUGGUGGGGGACAACAGUCGGAAACGGCUGCUAAUACCGCAUACGCCCCAAGGGGGAAAGCGUGGGAUCUUCGGACCUCGCGCCAUUGGAUGAGCCUGCGUCGGAUUAGCUAGUUGGUGGGGUAAAGGCCUACCAAGGCGACGAUCCGUAGCUGGUCUGAGAGGACGAUCAGCCACACUGGGACUGAGACACGGCCCAGACUCCUACGGGAGCAGCAGUGGGAAUAUUGCGCAAUGGGGGAAACCCUGACGCAGCCAUGCCGCGUGUGUGAAGAAGGCUCUAGGGUUGUAAAGCACUUUCAAUUGGGAGAAAAGCCACCGGUUAAUAGCCUGUGGUCUUGAUGUUACCUUUAGAAGAAGGACCGGCUAACUCCGUGCCAGCAGCCGCGGUAAUU
rnacentral:rRNA from 1 species